UUACGGAGGCAGCAGGCGCGAAUUUUUCACAAUGGGGGAAACCCUGAUGGAGCGACGCCGCGUGGGGGAUGAAUGGCUUCGGCCCGUAAACCCCUGUCAUUCGCGAUCAACCCUUGCUGUUUAAGAGAUGGCAAGCUGAUAGUAGCGGAAGAGGAAGGGACGGCUAACUCUGUGCCAGCAGCCGCGGUAAUACAGAGGUCCCGAGCGUUGUUCGGAUUCACUGGGCGUAAAGGGUGCGCAGGUGGUGAGGUGUGUCGGAUGUGAAAUCUCGGAGCUCAACUCCGAAAUGGCAUUGGAAACUACCUUGCUAGAGGAUUGGAGGGGGGACUGGAAUACUUGGUGUAGCAGUGAAAUGCGUAGAUAUCAAGUGGAACACCGGUGGCGAAGGCGAGUCCCUGGACAAUUCCUGACGCUGAGGCACGAAAGCUAGGGGAGCAAACAGGAUUAGAUACCCUGGU
rnacentral:rRNA from 1 species